rnacentral:rRNA from 1 species
AUGUCGACCAAGCUGGUCAGAAGCGCACUGUUGGGCCCUGUGGAGGUUCUGGAGGUAAACAAAAUACGAUCAUUCGUACUCAGCACUUCCGAGUUUCUGAAGGAAGUUUCUGGAACAUUCGCCCUCUAUGGCAGAGACAACCACAACAUAAUAACAUCACUGAAAUUUGUCACACACGUGAAGUCAUACGGGCCUUUCGGACAAGCGAAGGGAACCACUUUCACCAUACCCGUGCAAAAGACUAGCAGCAUCGUGGGCUUCUUUGGACGUAGCGGGAUAUAUCUCGACGCGCUUGCUGUCUAUGUGCACCAUCUCUAA